UACGUAGGCAGCAAGCGUUGUUCGGAAUUAUUGGGCGUAAAGAGCGUGUAGGCGGCCAGAUAGGUCUGUUGUGAAAACUCGAGGCUCAACCUCGAGACGCCGAUGGAAACCAUCUGGCUAGAGUCCGGAAGAGGAGAGUGGAAUUCCUGGUGUAGCGGUGAAAUGCGCAGAUAUCAGGAAGAACACCCGUGGCUAAGGCGGCUCUCUAGUACGGUACUGACGCUGAGACGCGAAAGCGUGGGGAGCGAACAGG
rnacentral:rRNA from 1 species